GGCAUGUGGCUUUCAUCCUUUCGAGCACAAGAUGGCUGCUGCACUGCUAGACAUUGCGUCAACAUCCAAGACCAGAAGUAGCAGGAGUGUAGAGAUGGUCCUGUUUCACUAUACACAUCUCACGUUUUUAAUUACCCGCACGGCUGCUCCCUCCCAUUAGUGUGGGAAAUGAAGGGUUGAGCGUUUAGCACUUAACAGUGAUAAUCCCAGCGCAAAACUUUCAGAACAGCCCAUUGAUCCCAAAGUCCGAUGGAUAUGAGCCUGCUUCAGGUGGCUUGGGCUAGCUCCGCGGCCUCUUCACUGUUUGGAAUGGAGGAAGCUCAAACCCAGCCAGCAUCCCAAGCCAAGCAAGCUGCACAGGGCCGGCAUCUGGGAUGUGAAAAGGUAACUGGCCAGACUUGGAGGGCAUGCAAGGACAACGGCCGUCUCAAGGACACACACUGGAUGGGCAGGUGCCUUGUGCAGUCAGGACAAGUGUUCCGGAGCCUGGCAGCUGUGGCCUGUCUGGUGGGUUGCAUGACCUCUGCUUUCCUUGUUAGCUUCAGGUUUGACAGAGGCCAGAGCCCCACUUUCAUCUGGGGCUGCCAUCAGGGGUCACCCCUUGAGAGGCAGUCUGUACACUCAGCUGCCAAUCAACUGCAUGAGGACAGAGCUACCCACUGCACCAUGCACUCACCUGC
rnacentral:lncRNA from 1 species